rnacentral:misc_RNA from 1 species
UGGCUCUCGCAUCGAUGAAGAACGCAGCGAAAUGUGAUAAGUAAUGUGAAUUGCAGAAUUCAGUGAAUCAUCGAAUCUUUGAACGCACCUUGCGCUCUCUGGUAUUCCGGAGAGCAUGUCUGUUUGAGUGUCAUGAACUCUUCAACACACCGGUUCCUAGCUGGACCAGGAGCGUGUUUGGAUUUUGAGUGUUGCUAUUCAGUUAGCUCGUUCGUAAUACAUUAGCAUCUUAAUUUCGUAAUCGGAUUGACUCGGCGUAAUAGACUAUUCGCUGAGGACACCAGACUGUGUUGUUUGGUGGCCGAGACAUGGAAAAAGGGACGCUUCAAACCCUUGCAAGUCAUUCUAAGAUUAGACCUCAGAUCAGGCAGGACUACCCGCUGA